rnacentral:snRNA from 1 species
GCACUCACUAUAGCAGUCCAUAUACUAAAAUUGGAACCACACAGAGAAGAGAAGCAUGACCCCUGAACAAAGAUGGCAUGCAGAUUUGUGAAUAGUUCCAUAUUAAG